GAUGAACGCUGGCGGCGUGCCUAAUACAUGCAAGUCGAGCGAACAGAUGAGGAUCUUGCUCCUCGGACGUUAGCGGCGCACGUGUGAGUAACACGUGUAUAACCUACCUAUAAUACUGGUAUAACUUCGGGAAACCGGAUCUAAUACCAUAGGAUAUAUUGAACCGCGGUGGUCAAUGGUAAGAUUCGGUUGUUCUGGCACGUAUAGAUGGUUCCCAGCCGCAUUAGCUAGAUGGUAAGGUAAAGGCUUACUAAGGCAACGAUGCGUAGCCGACCUGAGGGGGUGAUAGGCCACACUGGAGGUGAGCCACGGUCAAGAGUACUGAGGGAGGGAGCAGUCGGGAAUCUUAGGCAAUGGGCGAAAGCCUGACGCAGCGAGGGCGAGUGAGUGACGAAGGUCUUGGGAUCGUAAAACUGUGUUAUUAGGGAAGAACAAAUGUGUAAGUAACUAUGCACGUAUUGACGGUACCUAAUAAGAAAGCACCGGCUAACUACGUG
rnacentral:rRNA from 1 species